CAGCACCUCAAGUGGUCAGGAUGAUUAUUGGGCCUAAAGCAUCCGUAGCCUGCUUUGUUAGUUUUCGGUUAAAUCCAUACGCUCAACGUAUGGGCUGCCGGGAAUACUGCAAAGCUAGGGAGUGGGAGAGGUAGACGGUACUCGGUAGGAAGGGGUAAAAUCCUUUGAUCUAUUGAUGACCACCUGUGGCGAAGGCGGUCUACCAGAACACGUCCGACGGUGAGGGAUGAAAGCUGGGGGAGCAAACCGGAUUAGAGACCCGCGUAGUCC
rnacentral:rRNA from 1 species